UUUUGUCUCGCUGUGAUAUAAUUGGAAAAUGAAUUAAUCAUAUUGUAUGUGUUCUCUUCUUUGCGAUUUCCAGACAUUAAUUAUGCAAAACACCUCGGUGGACCUGAUCCGGAUGGAUUUGAAACCUGUUUCAUUAGUCAGGAGAUUGGAAAAAGAUGUGUCCAAACUCCAAAGAAUUCAGAACUGAGAACUCUGCCCCCAUCUUGUAUCUACAUGUAUAUGGGUCUGUCCACGAAGUUGGGGUUUUUAAGGAAAUUCACCACCGUCGGUCAUAAAACCAAGUAUAACUCCUUGUUAAGCAAACACUUUGCAAUGAUGGAUGUUUUGUUUGAUACACAUAAUGAUAAUCUUCCUGUGUGUAAAUUUUCAAACAUACACGCUGCUCCUUUUAUGAAAAAAUGAACAUUAUAUGUUAGUGUCCAACCCCAUUUUCUAAUGAAAAUUUGUGACAUGAAAAUAAAAAUAUUUUGACUGCUUAUUUCAAAGUAAUUACAAAUUCCUUACCUCCGGUAACAAUCAGCAAAUACAUAUUCUAACUUCAUCUAUAUAAUCAAAGUCGAGAAAGAUUGGAUUCGCCAAACAUUUUUUAAUAGCAGACUUCCCAAAGUCAUCGAUACCGCCACUACGGCGGUGUCCACUAAGAAUUUAUACGUCGUGGCGGUACUUUGAGCCAAUGUUCCUUAUAUGGGAUAGUUGAAAUUGUAAAUCUUAUUGUCCAUAAUGAGGUAUUUUUCUUGCCAGUAAUAUUUGAUAAAUGAAAUCAGGAUACUAUCAAGCAUUUUUAAGUAUCAUCAUUCAGAAAUACGAGUCACCGACGUGGUGUCCAUGCGGUAAAAAGAAGGAUCGGUAAAUUGAAACCAGUGUCAUUAAAAAUAUCCCCCCUCAUCAGAAUCGAUCAGUCCGGCAAAAUCUCGAUGAGUCAUGGUGGUUGAUAUAAAUAGCUCAUUCGGCUCCGUUUCCUUGGUGCGAAGCUGAAAUUUUCACUUUGACAAUAUGGCGUCCUUCUGCGAGUCACCGCUAGAGUCGGAAAGGUUUGAAGCAUCGGUGAGCAAAAUCGAUGACUUUGGGAAGCCACUCUAAAACUGCUGUAAACGGUAAGGUUUAUUUUUUUGUUUGAUGUACUCCACUCUAUCGACUGUUGUAAAAAUUCUUGUAUUUUUUAUGAAGUAGCUCGACUUUUCAUCCUUUCUUACUGUCCGUACCCUCGUUUGGACACCACGCAAGAGUGGUGUCUGCUGGUUGAAAUCGGCGGUAUUUGUUAGUUUUCCGUAAUGUGAGCAGUAAAUGCAUGAAAAUCGAAGAGUUUCACAAUCCAUCCUUGUAUUAAACCUAUAAAACAAAGGAUUACUACGGUAAAAGAGACUUUAAAGUAUUUAGGAAAAGAUACUGGCAUUUUUUAGCCCCGAUGCUACUCUUCGGUGAGGAACACUUGUGUCCGAUGUAGUAACGGUAUAGUAAAUAAAUUUGGGCCUUCUUCGGAACAAAACCGUCUUAAAAUUCCUCAAACAAUUCUUCCAGCAAUUAUUCCAACGGUAAAAUUCCGUCCAUUGAUAGUUUCUCCUCAUAUUCAGAUGCCUCCAUAUUCCUUUUUUAGAGAUGUUUCUCCAGAAUAUUCGCCCAAAAUCUCAAAUAUUUUAACAAUAGUCCCACAUAUAGCGAUACGUGUUAUGUUUCACUUGACAACCCGUAAAACCAGCGGAAUCGGACCCAAAAAGCAGCUCAAAAAGCAUGUUUCAUUUUUCGAACUUAAUAAUAUUAUACUAUAAUAAUCUUUCAUGGUGUAUUGUUGUUGUUUAGACGUCUUAGUCAUAGUUUGGAUUUUAGAUUUUAUUUUUUUCUUUUUCUUUCUUUGUAAUGAUUCAUUUAAUUGUAUUCAUUUACCCUUUUCUCGUAAAAGUCUGCAUUGCAUGUAGUGUCCAUUCGGUGAACAUUAUAGCCAAGAAAAAUAGCAUACUAGAUAAAACUCCUUUUAUUUUGAAUUUUUAUUUUGAUUACAGAAACCAACAAACAUGCCUUCUAAAGCUAAAUCAACAUCUAAGCCAAGGCCACCCUUUCAUCUGAAAUUGAGGGCAUUUUGUCCAGCAGAGGGUAGUGAAGACCGUAAUGAAAACGGUAAUGAAAACGGUGAUGAAAACAACCAUGAACACAGCAAGAAAACUCAUUGGCGUACACAUUUAAGAGUCCAAAAUCCAAUGAAGUAUCAAGCUUACCUGAAGUAUGAAGCUCUUGUGAAAAGAAAGAACCGGGCAGAAAAACGUGAAUACCUUGAUCAACCUGGAAAUGAGGUAGAGAAG